rnacentral:rRNA from 1 species
UACAGGAGGGGCGAAGCGUUGUUCGGAAUUACUGGGCGUAAAGGGCGCGUAGGCGGCCUGUUAAGUCGAACGUGAAAUCCCCGGGCUCAACCCGGGAACUGCGCCCGAUACUGGCAGGCUUGAAUUCGGGAGAGGGAUGCGGAAUUCCAGGUGGUAGCGGUGAAAUGCGUAGAUAUCUGGAGGAACACCGGUGGCGAAGGCGGCAUCCUGGACCGAGAUUGACGCUGAGGCGCGAAAGCCAGGGGAGCAAACGGG